UAAAGCGAGCGCCACUCUGAAUCCACGUGCUGACUUGAUCCUGGCCAAGUGCGGCAGAUACGUAGGGGGAAAGUUUGGGCUCUGGCAACGAAUCAUUUACGAAACAAGGACCAGCUUACUUUUCGAGCGAGAGUUUCACGAUCCCGACCAGCAACUUGUUGGGAUUUUAAUAUUUGUGUAUUGCUUUCAAAUUGGCCCAUAACUAAAAAAUCCAGACCUAUUGAUUGGCGGUUCAACUCUUUCUUCUUACCAGGACGCCGGCACAUCGCCUCUCUUUCGCCACCGCCCUUCUGUAACGCUUCACAUCAACAUUCAAUCCACCUUGUGCUUCUCUUUCUGGCUAUUGUCUCUGUUCCGUGUAUGUUGCUUUCAAAGCAGUUCAUCUUGAAGAAACAACAUGAAGCUAUCCAGAAGCAACAAGGUCAGUCUUAUGCACCUCUUGAGGAGACGGAUGAGAGUAUUCAUGUAUCGACAAGCGGAGGAUCACAUGGGCACGGGAGUUUGAAUUCAGCGACAUCUUUGUGCAUCAGUUUUUUCACACCAUAGAAUUUUUUGCUUAGAGCUGUUUCCAACACCUCUUCUUACCUGCGUAUAUGGGCUCUCAGUCUUGCACACUCGGAGAUAUCGUCAGUCUUCUAUGAGACUAUGAGAAGGUCCUCCUUCUCGCUUGGAAUACAACAAUGUGUUGAUCCUGAUCGUUGGGAUCAUUGUUUUCAUAUUGUGGGAUUGCUGCUGGUGAUAGAGACACAGAGCACGUUCCUUCACGCACUGCGUCUCCACUUGGUGAAGUUUCAGAACAAAUUCUACGAAGGAGAUAGUUCCAAGUUCGCUCCUUUCUCUUUCAUUCUCACUGGAAACGAAGACGACUGAUAGGGAUGAAUGAUUGUUCCACUCCCCUCCCAUUCUCUGCAAAAUUUGCUUAUAUAAAAAAGGAACAAGACAAACCAAGUUUUAUUUAUUUUUUGCCAAUAUAUUUUUCCCCUUCCACAUUCAGGGUGGGUGGAAUAAAAUAUGUUUAUUUUGUUUGCCUGUCUGGAGAUUAGAUUUUUUAAACAACAGUGGAGAAGGGGCUAAUGGAAUUUGUAUGAGGCAAAACUCAUUUGUUGAUGUGUUUGUUUGGAGUUAAAUACGUGAGGAUUUGUUUCCACUUA